AUACGGAGGGUGCAAGCGUUGUUCGGAAUUAUUGGGCGUAAAGGGCGCGCAGGCGGUUUGGUAAGUCAGAUGUGAAAGCCCACGGCUCAACCGUGGAAGUGCAUUUGAAACUGCCAGACUUGAGUACCAGAGGGGAAAGUGGAAUUCCCGGUGUAGAGGUGAAAUUCGUAGAUAUCGGGAGGAAUACCGGUGGCGAAGGCGACUUUCUGGCUGGAUACUGACGCUGAGGCGCGAAAGCGUGGGGAGCAAACAGGAUUAGAAACCCCAGUAGUCC
rnacentral:rRNA from 1 species